rnacentral:rRNA from 1 species
UACGUAGGUGGCAAGCGUUGUCCGGAAUUAUUGGGCGUAAAGCGCGCGCAGGUGGUUUCUUAAGUCUGAUGUGAAAGCCCACGGCUCAACCGUGGAGGGUCAUUGGAAACUGGGGAACUUGAGUGCAGGAGAGAAGAGUGGAAUUCCACGUGUAGCGGUGAAAUGCGUAGAGAUGUGGAGGAACACCAGUGGCGAAGGCGAGUUCCUGGACAAGUCCUGACGCUGAGGCACGAAAGCCAGGGGAGCAAACAGG